GUCUAUGGCCAUGCCACCCUGAACAAGCCGGAUCCCAUCUGAUCUUGGAAGCAGGGUGGGGCCUGGUUAGUACUUGGAUGGGAGACCACCUAGGAAGACCAGGUGCUGCAGGUG
rnacentral:rRNA from 1 species